GAUGAACGCUAGCGGCAGGCUUAACACAUGCAAGUCGAGGGGUAUUGGUUUUCGGACCAAGAGACCGGCGCACGGGUGCGUAACGCGUAUGCAAUCUACCUUUUGCAGAGGGAUAGCCCCAGAGAAAUUUGGAUUAAUACCUCAUAGUAUAGUACUUUGGCAUCAAGGAACUAUUAAAGUCACAACGGCAAAGAUGAGCAUGCGUCCCAUUAGCUAGUUGGUAAGGUAACGGCUUACCAAGGCUACGAUGGGUAGGGGUUCUGAGAGGGAGAUCCCCCACACUGGUACUGAGACACGGACCAGACUCCUACGGGAGGCAGCAGUGAGGAAUAUUGGACAAUGGGCGCAAGCCUGAUCCAGCCAUGCCGCGUGCAGGAUGACGGUCCUAUGGAUUGUAAACUGCUUUUAUACAGGAAGAAACACUACUUCGUGAAGUAGCUUGACGGUACUGUAAGAAUAAGGAUCGGCUAACUCCGUGCCAGCAGCCGACGG
rnacentral:rRNA from 1 species